AUUGAACGCUGGCGGCAGGCCUAACACAUGCAAGUCGAACGAGUGGCGGACGGGUGAGUAAUGUAUGGGAACCUGCCUGAUGGAGGGGGAUAACUACUGGAAACGGUGGCUAAUACCGCAUACCAUCAGAUGUGCCCAGAUGGGAUUAGCUUGUGGGUGGGGUAACGGCUCACCAAGGCGACGAUCCCUAGCUGGUCUGAGAGGAUGAUCAGCCACACUGGAACUGAGACACGGUCCAGACUCCUACGUGAGGCAGCAGGGGGGAAUAGUGCACAAUGGGCGCAAGCCUGAUGCAGCCAUGCCGCGUGUAUGAAGAAGGCCUUAGGGUUGUAAAGUACUGUCAGCGGGGAGGCGUUACCCGCAGAAGAAGCACCGGCUAACUCCGUGCCAGCAGCCGCGGUAAUAC
rnacentral:rRNA from 1 species